UGAGGAAUAUUGGUCAAUGGACGAGAGUCUGAACCAGCCAAGUAGCGUGCAGGAUGACGGCCCUAUGGGUUGUAAACUGCUUUUGUUUGGGAAUAAUCGACAUUACGUGUAAUGUUUUGCAUGUACCAUUCGAAUAAGGACCGGCUAAUUCCGUGCCAGCAGCCGCGGUAAUACGGAAGGUUCGGGCGUUAUCCGGAUUUAUUGGGUUUAAAGGGAGCGUAGGCCGUUUGGUAAGCGUAUUGUGAAAUGUAGGAGCUCAACUUCUAGAUUGCAGCGCGAACUGUCAGACUUGAGUGCGCACAACGUAGGCGGAAUUCAUGGUGUAGCGGUGAAAUGCUUAGAUAUCAUGAAGAACUCCGAUUGCGAAGGCAGCUUACGGGAGCGCAACUGACGCUGAAGCUCGAAGGUGCGGGUAUCGAACAGG
rnacentral:rRNA from 1 species